UUUGUGUCCUUGAGCCUUCCUUUGUUUCCUGAGUUGCAGUUUGGAUUUGUUUGUUUGGAUUACAAAGAAUUAAGGCCCUUUUAGUGGACUGCGUCACCCACAUACUUGCAACUUUAUUCAUUUACAUUUCUUAACCAGAAAAGCCCGAAUGGCCAUAAAAGACUCUCUCUUUCAGUGGAGACCUGAAAAGAAAAUCUACAUUUCACAUAGUACUGGGACCAUGACAAGCAAAUAGUAAAGAAAAUGAGUUGAUGACUGCCAAAUCUAAGUUACUGUGUCUUCUGGUCUGGGAUAGCAGCAAAGGGUCCUGCUUACCCAUCUUGUCAAACACACGUGUACCUGUACAAACAGAUACCCAGGACAUGUGGCUGUAAAAGAAAAUUGAUUGCUUCUUCCCAGAUGGCUGUAAACAGAAAAUGGAUUGCUCCUUCCUGGACGGCAGCUCACACACCUACCUUUGCUCAAAACACUAAAUGGAUCACUACUUCUUGGAGAGCUCACACUUCCUUUACUGUAAAAGCUUGGAAUCCAUGUGUAACCUGCCCCCUCCAGAACAUACUACCCUUGCAGCUUAAAUGGCAUGUCUGCUGAUGUCAGCAGAAAGUUUAAACUAAAGAUGCCAGGAAGCUAGGAAUAUACAGUUUCCUCAAAAGUGUGGGGGGGGGGGGCACCCCUUCCCCCUCGCUCUAUGGUUGUGGCACUCAUAGCUGAGUGUGAAUACAUUUCUCUCGUAUUUUGGAGACUGGGGAGAGGAUAGCAGUAGGACAGAAGUUAGAGAUAUCAAAGUUGUUGCCACCUUUAUGAAGUGGAAGAAUGAAAGCACUUUUCCAGAUAUCAGGUAUAUAGGAUUCCUGAAUAGACCUAUUGAGGAGGAUGCUAAUAAGAUAAGCAAGGGAGGAGUCUUGAGAGUGGCAGGUAUUCAGCAGGUAAGUUGUCAGAGGUAUUGGAGCAGGGUUUGAGUUUGUAAAGGAGCAUUUUGAUAGUGGAGGUGUGGGUAUGGGUGUUGGUGUGAAAGCAGGUAGAGGCAUAGAAGAGUGUACAGGUGGAGUUCCUGUUUGGUUAGUUGUUAUAGUUGGAAAGGUGGUAGCCAGUUUCUGAAUGGUAUCUAUGAAGUGCAAGUUAGAGGGAGGCUAUCUCAGAGGGUUUUUCUUGGGGUGUGGACAUGGGUUGUUAGUUUCAGGGUGGAGAGGGGUGUUUAUUGCUCCCCAGAAACUGUUAUGGUUAAGCCUGUGUUGGUCAUGGAUAGUUUAGAAGUAUUCUUUUUUGUUUUUGUUGACUAGGCGUUUAGCCUGAUUGCCGAUUUGUUUAUAAAGAGUGAGGUUGGGCAGGGAAUUUUUUUUUUUGGUCAGGCUUUCCAUGCUUUGCCCCUAGAAGACAUAAUUUGUUUUGUGGACUUGGUAAGACAAAUAGCAUGUUUUGACUUGAUCCUUUUUAAUUGGAGAGGGGCAAGGCUAUUUAGGAUCUUAAGAAAUUUCUUAUCUGCUACCUAUAUAUGUCUCUUCUGUUAUUGUAUGUGCAUCUUUGUAGGGUACAUCUUUGUAGGCUACAUUUCUUCUUCUGUGGUCUUAAUUCUUCCCAUGGACCUGUUCAUUUUCAUUUCUGGAACUGUCUUCCUUUUAGCAUUAUUGUUGCAUGCUCCAAUGUAGUUUCUUAUUUUCCAAAAUGUUCUCUGUUCACAUUUCUUAAUAUAGAAAUGAAGAAGAGCUAUUCCGAAAAACCAAAAAAAAAAAAAAACUGUAGCUUAAGUAAAUAAAUAUGAACAUUUGAUGGCCACAGUUAUUGUGUAUUAAAGAAAUUCAACAGAAUUGUGGCCCAUCGAUUUUGCUUUAAAAUAACUAUAAAUGCCAGUUUCUAUCCAGAAACUGGAAUAAGAAGUAUGCAUUUAUAUAAAAGAUGAAGUUGUCUAAUAAAUUAAUUAGCAUUAGCAGCCAGUCUGUUGGAUGAUAAUGUUUGUUGUAAUUUCUUAAGUGUGGUUCAUUUAUUUAUGAAUCAGCUGUUCUCUGUUUUUUUAAAUAUAUUAUAACAGUAUGCUUAGAACAUUGGCACUGAUAUUUCUGUCAUAGGUAAUACCAAUGUAGCCCUUAUAAAACAGUCAUUUCUUUAAUAACUAAAAUAAAAUCCUCAAUAUUAUAUACUAGCUUUAUUCUCACUGGAUAAUUUACAGCCUCAUGAAUGAUAAAUCGAAAUAUAGUUUGAGUUGUAUAACUAAUGCAUUAUAUUGCUGUUGUGUAUUAUGUGGCUGAGAUUCAGAUACAUGGAUGUCAUAAAGUUUCAUAAAACAAGAGCUUCAUAAACUGCGUACUGCAAAUAGCUGCAGUGCACACAACCAUGGAAAAUGCAAUUCAGAGAUAUUUACCUGCAAUGAGAAAGAACUUGUCAUUUAAUUUGCAUGUCUCUGAAUCAGGUGUAAUGACUGACAGAGCUAAGCAGUACUUUAGGCAAUUUCCACUGGCAGCCCAUACAUCACAUUGACAUAGGAACCUCACAUUCACUCUACCAAACCUAAGCAGACAUUAAUAGACAUGAGUGCGUACACAGGCACACACUCCAUAAGUACUACUCUGAUGAACUUCCCUAAGCUUACUUGCAAAGUGUUCCCUUCCUUUAACUAUAAUGGGGGGGACAGCAUAGUUUUGGCAGAGCUAUCAUGGCCAGUCAUUUUAAUUUUACAUAGCCGAGCAAUUCUCUGAAUCGCUUAGCAUUGUAAAUUAAUUACUGUAGGCAUUUCUGUGGGAGGUAACAUGGCUAAUUACCAUUAGCUACUUCUCAGGAAAGCCUCAGGUAAUAAAAAGAAAUAAAAAAAUCUUUGUUUAAUCUGUCACUACAUUUAGACUGACUAGUACGUACAUGGAACAAACUAGCCAAGUAUGUCAGUUAGCAAUGUAGUCAGACUUAGAAACACAUGCACCAAAUAACACAUGCAAACUCAAUGCUGUUAUUAAAAUACGUUGUUGACUGCUUAGCAAAUAGCAGCACUUUGUUACUCCACAGCAUUAGAGCCACUAUCUAUAAAGUUACCUGUAGGCUUACCUAAAAGAUGUCGAGAACCACAGUGUUUUCAUUUUAGACUUUCUCCAGCUUUUAUAAACGUUUAACUUUCAUAAGUCCUUUUUGCAGAGCAGAUGAAACAGGCACAGAUGCAAUUAACAUUACUAAAAAAAGAUCAGCUAAGUGGACUAUCUGUUCUUUUUAGUUGUGUAUUUAACUCCUACUAGCCUAAGCAGCUGCCUUCUUAAAAUGAGCAUGCCUUCAUAUUGUACUACUGUGCAUAUCAUAUAGCAUGUACUGCUCCAUUUUCUUUACAUUGCAAUGCCCUUCACAUUGUACCUGAAGAAAGACAACUCCUUAUAAAAGUGACCAGUCAUAACAGGAUAGAAUUGCUGCAUCAAAGCUGUUCAUAAUCUAUUUUAUAUUCUGACUGUCAAACUUCCUCUCUGGUGUCUGAAUGUUCUAUGUAUAUGUAGAUUUGGAAUUCUGGUUUCUUUCUGCAUCCUGAACAUAUGCUGUAUGAGAAUUGUCAUUACUUCAUAUUUCCUUUAUGUAUGCAAGCUUUGUGAGAGUGAGCUACUACAUGUAUCCUGUGGUGAGCUGGGAUACCAUUAUUAAGUAGAUCCCUUGUCUUGUGCCCAAUGAGUACUGAGACCAGAUCUAGUUGGUGUGUUACCAUGAAAUGGGUUAAGGAGGUAACUGGAGAAUGAAUUAAGUAAUUUAUCUGCUUGCAGUACAUUCCAGCCUCUCUCUCAUCUUUAAAAUUUCUGAUUUACCUGACAAACUGUUCCUGCAACCAUAAAAAAACAUGUUUAAUUUUCUUGAGAUAUCCAAAUUUACCCCACUGGAUUAAAGAUGUCCAUCUGAGCUUUCAUCUUAGUGCAUACGUGGAGUAUUAUAUCCCAUCCUUGACUUAUCAAAGCAAUCAGCCACAUUGCAUCUCAAUAGUUCACAUCUUUUCCUGUAGCAUGUCCUGCUAGGAAAAAGGAUGCAGUUUUAAACUUCAAGUGUAAUUUUUUUUUGUCUUCAGGAAGAAGUUAUCUUCAGCUUCUAACUUUCACAUUGUGACAUUUUUUGUAAUAAACAUUUAUCUUGCCUUGAAAGUAACUGCAAUAAUCAAGCUUUGUGUCCAACAUCUAAGUACCACCUGAUGUACUACUUUUAAACUCUACUUAACAUUCACCACGUCAGUCAGCCCUUUAUUCAUUACUUAUUCUGUACCUUCUUCCUUCCUGAAUCUCAAUAAAGCACA